AUGAAGGAUGCCCUUGAAGCUUACGACGAGCUCCAAUGCAAGUACCGUGCAAAAAGAAAGCGCCAACAACAGAUCGUAACGCUUGAUAUGUCUAUUCGUGGUUCGUGUAUGGUGAAUGCAAACUUGCAGAGUGUUUGUGAGUCUGCAACAAAAACAAUCCUCCAAGCGGCUAAAGUUAUUUUUAGUUUUUCGUCCUAUGUCGAUGGUAAACUCAUGGCACGAUCAUCUGCCCAAUAUACGGCCCUAACCCAGUGGUCAGGUACAGAUGAGUAUCUACCUGAUGCUGAGAUUAUUGCUCAUUUGUUGGAUGAAGAUGAGACAACUGUACCUGCAAUCUUGUUUCGCUAUGACAAGCACACCAAUAUUGCCUUGUUGAAGGUUAAUUUAGACUUGUGUGCUAAGAUUCCUAGGUUUAGUAGUGACAUAAACUACGGUCAGGAGAUACUUGUGCUCGGUAGAGAUGAAUGUUUAAACCUGACAAUUGCUCAAGGAUGUGUUAAUUUCAUGGGCCCAACUACAUACGAACGUCAUCAUUAUCUAUUCACUGGUUGUGAGCAUUGGAGGAAUGGUUAUUGA
rnacentral:rRNA from 1 species